rnacentral:rRNA from 1 species
CGGGUGCGGCGCCGGUCUAAGUUCCUUGGAACAGGACGUCAUAGAGGGUGAGAAUCCCGUUCAUGACCGGCGACCUAGCCCGUGUGAAGCUCCUUCGACGAGUCGAGUUGUUUGGGAAUGCAGCUCUAAAUGGGUGGUAAAUUUCAUCUAAAGCUAAAUACCGGCCAGAGACCGAUAGCGCACAAGUAGAGUGAUCGAAAGAUGAAAAGCACUUUGGAAAGAGAGUUAAAAAGUACGUGAAAUUGUUGAAAGGGAAGCGCUUGCGACCAGACUUGCUCGCGGGUGAUCAGCCGCCCUUCUGGGCGGUGCACUCGCCCGCGAUCAGGCCAGCAUCGGUUUGGGCGGUCGGAUAAAGGCCCCGGGAAUGUAGCUCCCUCCGGGGAGUGUUAUAGCCUGGGGUGCAAUGUGGCCAGCCUGGACCGAGGACCGCGCUUCGGCUAGGAUGCUGGGUAAUGGUUGUAAGCGACCCGUCUUGAAACACGGACCAAGGAGUCUAACAUCUAUGCGAGUGUUUGGGUGUCAAACCCA